ensembl:lncRNA
GGAAUUUUUAAAGCUGUCCAUGUGAUUCCACUCUUCAGUCCCAGCUCAGAAUUCUGCUCCAAGAUCUCUGCAGACCUUGGGAAGAAAGGCUGAAGGAAGCCUUGCCCAGCAUUGUGCUCUGGGGGUCCAGUGACCGGGCAGCACGUCUGGGGGCUCACCUCCAUCCCCCCUCACCUAACAACACUCUGUGCCGGGGUGCCUGGCCCACAUCUACAAAUGGGUCCACAGAGCAUGCCCCAGGAAACAGCAGUUGCUUCAGCUUGGGUGCUGAGUGAAGAGUCCUGUGAAGCCAACUGGAAGUCUCUCUAUAGCCUGGAGCAGAACUGCAGCUCACCCAUCUGCCCUCAUGCACGUGACCAAGAGGUGAUGCUGAAGCUGCAGCUCUGGAGACCUCACUCGGAGAACCACCGCCCUACAGGAAGCAAAGCCCAGAGAAUUCUUCCUGCUCUGAUAACCUGGCGAUUAAAUAGGAUCCACCGAAUGUGGCAUUUGACUUGCCAUUUCUUACGAAGAAAUUUACUGGCUGAUCAGUGGAAAGGCCUGAAGGUCCUUACACAGCUGUUGCCAAAGAAUGAUUUGUGAAGGCAUCAGGAGGAGGCAGUACUCACCAGAAGUGCUCUGAUGAUCUCUUCUUGGGACCUGGAAACUCUGGGAAGGUAGGAGAGUACCUCACUCAUGGGGCUGUGCCAGCAUCCCCAGGGUGCUUGCUAUUUUGGUAUGAGUUUUAUAGGGACCAUUUAUGAAGAUUUUUCUCUCUGACAUUUAGCCAUGCUGUUUUAUAGCCAUGAAAAAGGAAAGUGAUUUUAAUAAGUUAUGGGAAAAUUAUAGCACAGCGCUUUACAUUCACUCAACACACACUGCUGAAUGAAUUAAUACAUGAGAAUGCCCCUUCCCCACAAUACAGCCUAAGAAACAGAAUUUGAAAACUGUAAGAAACCUUAAAGAUCACCUGUCUUGGCAUCCCAUGGCACCCACACAUACCCAGUUUUACAG